rnacentral:rRNA from 1 species
GUGGGGAAUAUUGGACAAUGGGGGGAACCCUGAUCCAGCCAUGCCGCGUGUGUGAAGAAGGCCUUUUGGUUGUAAAGCACUUUAAGCGAGGAGGAGGCUACCGAGAUUAAUACUCUUGGAUAGUGGACGUUACUCGCAGAAUAAGCACCGGCUAACUCUGUGCCAGCAGCCGCGGUAAUACAGAGGGUGCAAGCGUUAAUCGGAUUUACUGGGCGUAACGCGCGCGUAGGUGGCCAAUUAAGUCAAAUGUGAAAUCCCCGAGCUUAACUUGGGAAUUGCAUUCGAUACUGGUUGGCUAGAGUAUGGGAGAGGAUGGUAGAAUUCCAGGUGUAGCGGUGAAAUGCGUAGAGAUCUGGAGGAAUACCGAUGGCGAAGGCAGCCAUCUGGCCUAAUACUGACACUGAGGUGCGAAAGCAUGGGGAGCAAACAGGAUUAGAAACCCGGGUAGUCC